rnacentral:rRNA from 1 species
UAUGGAGGGUGCGAGCGUUGUCCGGAAUCACUGGGCGUAAAGGGCGCGUAGGCGGCCUGGUAAGUAGGGGGUGAAAUCCUGCGGCUUAACCGCAGGGCUGCCUUCUAAACUGUCAGGCUCGAGCACGGUAGAGGCAGAUGGAAUUCCCGGUGUAGCGGUGGAAUGCGUAGAGAUCGGGAAGAACAUCAGUGGCGAAGGCGGUCUGCUGGGCCGUUGCUGACGCUGAGGCGCGACAGCGUGGGGAGCAAACAGG